GAUGAACGCUGGCGGCGUGCUUAACACAUGCAAGUCGAACGGAAAGGCCCAAGCUUGCUUGGGUACUCGAGUGGCGAACGGGUGAGUAACACGUGGGUGAUCUGCCCUGCACUUCGGGAUAAGCCUGGGAAACUGGGUCUAAUACCGGAUAGGACGAUGGUUUGGAUGCUAUUGUGGAAAGUUUUUUCGGUGUGGGAUGAGCGCGCGGCCCACCAGCUUGUUGGUGGGGUAAUGGCCUACCAAGGCGUCGACGGGUAGCCGGUCAGAGAGGGUGUCCGGCCACAUUGGGACUGAGGGACGGACCAGACGCCCACGGGAGGCAGGAGGGGGGAAGAUGGGAAAAUUGGCGCAAGCGCGAUGGAGCGACGCCGCGUGGGGGAUGACGGGCUUCGGGUUGUAAACUCCUUUCGCUAGGGAAGAAGCGUUUUUGAGGCGGUACCUUGAGAAGAAGCACCGGGUAACUACGGG
rnacentral:rRNA from 1 species